CUGUCCUAUGCGACAUAAUAACUCCAGCCAACACGGAAGAGAGAGGCUAUACAAGUGAAGAAAUGGCAUUUUCACUUUCGUGACUAUACAAUCACUUCCAGGGGUUGUUGUGUGUUCUGGAGUCUGUGAGAUGCCUUUGUGAUGCCAGGAGAUUCCGGUCGGAGGAUCCAAGUUCAAACCCUGCCUGAGCUACAGAGUGACUUUAAGGACUUCUGUGCAAUUCAGUGAGACCCAGUCUACAAGUAAAAAGACGGCUGUGGGUGUAAGUCACUGUGAAGGAUUGUAACUGGAAUUGUGAGCAGGAACCAGGCCGAGCAGGAACAAGCCGGUGGGUACGCCCACGCUCGCUCUUUCCCUCUGGUCCUGCUGGUGGGUGUGCUUGAACUCGCGCCUUGACUUCCCAGCUGUGAAGGAUUGUAACUGGAAUGGAGCCAGAAACCAGGCUGCCCACCGCGUCUUCUGACAGGACUGCUGUAGACUUUUCCUGUGUGUCCAUAAUUGCAAACUGAAGUAGGGGACAGCACAGGCUGAGGAGGCAGCGGUGGAAACAGGAAGUUACUGCUCCCUGGGAGUGGUAACUGCUUCAUGUUCAGCCGGACACAGGCUCACUCCCAGAUUGACUCAUUAUGUGUAAAUACUCAUACAUGGUAAAUACUCAUGACUACAUCUGCAA